rnacentral:rRNA from 1 species
AUAUAAAAAAUUAUUGUUUUUUAUAUAAAAUAAAUAUAUUUAUGUUUAAUUAUUAGUUAAGAAAAAAUUUUUUUUAUCAUAGUUUAUAGUAUAGUAGUAGAAGUUUUAAAUAUUAUGAAAAUUUAAAUUUUAUAAAGAAUAAUUUAUUUUUAGUACCUUGUGUAUCAGGGGUUAUUAAAAAUAAGUUAAUAAUUUAAUUUUCUCGAAUUUAAAAGAGUUAAGAAAAUAUAAUUUUUAUUGUAAAAUAAAUAUUAAUAAUAUUUUUUUAGUAAUGAAACGUUAUUCGUUUUUAAUAAUAUCUAGUUUUUUAAUAAAAAAAUUUAAUUUUUUUAUUAAUAAAAAAUUAGUUAUUUAAUAAAUUAAUUUUUAUUAAUAGAAAAUAUUUUAAGGGAUAAGCUUUAAAAUAAAUUUGUAUAAUUUAUUUAUAAAAAAAAAUUAAAUAGAAUUAAAAAUUUUUAUUUUUAAUAAUUUGUUAUAAUUAUUUUUUUUUUUAUUAUUAUUUAUAUAAAAAUUUACGUUUUUUAUUAAAAUAUUUAAUUUAAUAUUAAAAUUAAAGUGAUAAUGAUAACAUUAGUAUAUAUUAUUGUUAAUAAAAAUUUUAUUAAUAAGGUUAAAUUAAGGAAUUCGGCAAUAUAUUUUUUCGCCUGUUUAUUAAAAACAUGUCUUUUUGAAUAUAAUUUAAAGUCUAACCUGCCCAAUGAUAGAUAUUUAAUGGCCGCAGUAUUUUGACUGUGCAAAGGUAGCAUAAUCAUUAGUUUUUUAAUUGAAAGCUAGAAUGAAUGGUUGAACGAAAAAAAUUCUGUCUCAAUUUAAUUUAAUUAGAAUUUUAUUUUUAAGUUAAAAAGCUUAAAUUUAAUUAAAAGACGAGAAGACCCUAUAGAGUUUUAUAAUAUAUGAAGUUUAAUUUUUAGUAAUUUUUUGACUUUAAAUAUUAUUUUAUUGGGGUGAUAAAUAAAUUAAAAUAACUUUAUUUUUAUAUAAACAUAUAUAAAUGAUUAAUUGAUCUAUGUAAUAUGAUUAUAAGAUUAAAUUACCUUAGGGAUAACAGCGUAAUUUUUUUAGAGAGUUCAAAUCGAAAAAAAAGAUUGCGACCUCGAUGUUGGAUUAAAAUUUAUUUUUGGUGUAGAAGCUAAAAAAAUUGAGUCUGUUCGACUUUUAAAAUUUUACAUGAUCUGAGUUUAAACCGGUGUGAGCCAGGUUGGUUUCUAUCUUUAAUAAAAUUAGAUAUUUUAGUACGAAAGGACCAAAUAUUAAUUAAAUUAGUUUGAUUUUGAUUAUUAUU